rnacentral:rRNA from 1 species
AUACAUGCAAGUCGAGCGGACAGAUGGGAGCUUGCUCCCUGAUGUUAGCGGCGGACGGGUGAGUAACACGUGGGUAACCUGCCUGUAAGACUGGGAUAACUCCGGGAAACCGGGGCUAAUACCGGAUGGUUGUCUGAACCGCAUGGUUCAGACAUAAAAGGUGGCUUCGGCUACCACUUACAGAUGGACCCGCGGCGCAUUAGCUAGUUGGUGAGGUAACGGCUCACCAAGGCGACGAUGCGUAGCCGACCUGAGAGGGUGAUCGGCCACACUGGGACUGAGACACGGCCCAGACUCCUACGGGAGGCAGCAGUAGGGAAUCUUCCGCAAUGGACGAAAGUCUGACGGAGCAACGCCGCGUGAGUGAUGAAGGUUUUCGGAUCGUAAAGCUCUGUUGUUAGGGAAGAACAAGUGCCGUUCAAAUAGGGCGGCACCUUGACGGUACCUAACCAGAAAGCCACGGCUAACUACGUGCCAGCAGCCGCGGUAAUACGUAGGUGGCAAGCGUUGUCCGGAAUUAUUGGGCGUAAAGGGCUCGCAGGCGGUUUCUUAA